rnacentral:rRNA from 1 species
UGAUUCAGACCUUGGUGAGUGGCGGACGGGUGAGUAACACGUGGGUAACCUGCCCAAAAGUGGGGGAUAACAUCUGGAAACAGGUGCUAAUACCGCAUAACAACUACUUUCACAUGAUCGUAGCUUGAAAGAUGGCUCUGCUAUCGCUUUUGGAUGGACCCGCGGCGUAUUAGCUAGUUGGUGAGGUAAUAGCUCACCAAGGCAAUGAUACGUAGCCGACCUGAGAGGGUAAUCGGCCACAUUGGGACUGAGACACGGCCCAAACUCC